UACGUAGGGGGCAAGCGUUGUCCGGAAUCAUUGGGCGUAAAGCGCGCGUAGGCGGCCCUGUAAGUCCGCUGUAAAAGUCAAAGGCUCAACCUUUGAAAGCCGGUGGAUACUGCAGGGCUAGAGUCCGGAAGAGGCGAGUGGAAUUCCUGGUGUAGCGGUGGAAUGCGCAGAUAUCAGGAGGAACACCAAUAGCGAAGGCAGCUCGCUAGGACGGUACUGACGCUAAGGAGCGAAAGCGUGGGGAGCGAACAGG
rnacentral:rRNA from 1 species